AGUCACUGACAUUAGAUACCCCCGUAGUCCAGGGUGUAAACGCUGCAGACUUGGUGUUGGAGGCCCUUUGGGGGCAUUCAGUGCCGGAGAGAAGUUGUUAAGUCUGCUACUUGGGGAGUACGUCCGCAAGGAUGAAACUUAAAGGAAUUGGCGGGGGAGCACCGCAACGGGAGGAGCGUGCGGUUUAAUUGGAUUCAACGCCGAAAAACUCACCAGCAGCGACUGUUACAUGAAAGUCAGGUUGAUGACCUUACUAGAUUUUCAG
rnacentral:rRNA from 1 species